GUGAAAGGCUAAUCAAACCCGGAGAUAGCUGGUUCUCCCCGAAAUCUAUUUAGGUAGAGCCUUAUAUAUAACUCGUUGGGGUAAAGCACUGUUUCGGCUAGGGGGUCAUCUCGACUUACUGAACCGAUGCAAACUUAGAAUACGACGAAGUUUAAGUAUAGGAGACACACUGCGGGUGCUAAGGUCCGUAGUGGAGAGGGAAACAGCCCAGACCGUCGUCUAAGGCCCCAAAGUCGAUGCUAAGUGGUAAAGGAUGUGGGGGUGCUUAUACAACCAGGAUGUUGGCUUAGAAGCAGCCACCAUU
rnacentral:rRNA from 1 species